GUAUUUCAAAUGAAUGUACCCACUGUUGUCUUCUAAUCGGGAGAAUUUUGGCCGAUAUCGAAAAAAAGUUUGGCCGAAUUUGGCCGUGAGAUGGCGUGUGUUUUGCCGUGAGGCCUGCGUGAGGCCUGUCGACUAUCUGGCAACCCUGGUUUUCAAGCUCGCGCGAAACUCUUGUUGGGUUUUGUUGUUCACCAAGAAAAUAUGGCUAGAAAAUUAAUACUCUACCCACACAACUGCAAGUUCCGGAGUCAACUCUAUCCAACAGCAUUUUUGUAUUUUUGUACCUGUUUCAGAUGGACAACAAACACCAGGAGCAAUACCCAUUGUUGUAGGUUUUCAAGGAGCACCAUUGACCAUACCAGCAGAUCAAGAAUGAGCAAUAAAAAAGAUCAAAAGAUGGGAUGAAGAAUGGACAUUGAUUUAGAAAAAUAGAUGCUCAAUUCAAAUAUUUUUAGCUACAAAUAUAAUUUGAAGAGCCGAGGUUUGCGAUUAAUGCAUUCGGAGCGACAACGGACUGAAAUUUAUUACCAUGAAUUCUUUUAUGUCCAUUUUAUUUUUAAGCUUAUCUGAAGCAAGCCAUGGCUGUUGGAGAGUUUCUAAAAGAUGGUUAAAAAAGUUUGAAUAACAUUACAAAAUUCUUGAAGCUUAUCUGGAGCAAGCCAUGGCUGUUGAAGAGUUUCUAAAAGAUGGUUAAAAUUGUCGUAAAUAAUGAUAUCCACGAUUUUGGAUGUUGCCAAAAACAACUCUGUUACUGACCGACCGAAUGUUGGAACCAUGUCUGCAUAUCGAGAUGGAUACGCAAAACGAUAAAAAAAAACAUACAAAAUGCCUCGAUUCCAUCAAAUACGGAUCCACUUUUGCAUCGCACUUCAUGCGGAAUACUUAAAACAUUAUAAAGUUGAUAGAUGUCGUCCUUUUCAAAUCUUGAAUUAAAUAAUGUUAUUUUGUUAAUACAAAAGUGUGUGUGUGUAUAU